UGAUGCGAGGAAAGGAACAGAACAAU
rnacentral:piRNA from 1 species